rnacentral:rRNA from 1 species
CCUUAGCUAGCAGUAUCCUGAGUAGGGCGGGACACGAGGAAUCCUGUCUGAAUCCGGGUCGACCACGAUCCAACCCUAAAUACUAAUACCAGAUCGAUAGUGCACAAGUACCGUGAGGGAAAGGUGAAAAGAACUGAGGUGAUCAGAGUGAAAUAGAACCUGAAACCAUUUGCUUACAAUCAUUCAGAGCCCUAUGUAGCAAUACAGGGUGAUGGACUGCCUUUUGCAUAAUGAGCCUGCGAGUUGUGGUGUCUGGCAAGGUUAAGCAAACGCGAAGCCGUAGCGAAAGCGAGUCUGAAUAGGGCGCUUAGUCAGAUGCUGCAGACCCGAAACGAAGUGAUCUAUCCAUGAGCAAGUUGAAGCUAGUGUAAGAACUAGUGGAGGACUGAACCCAUAGGCGUUGAAAAGCCCCGGGAUGACUUGUGGAUAGGGGUGAAAGGCCAAUCAAACUUCGUGAUAGCUGGUUCUCUCCGAAAUAUAUUUAGGUAUAGCGUUGUGUCGUAAUAUAAGGGGGUAGAGCACUGAAUGGGCUAGGGCAUACACCAAUGUACCAAACCCUAUCAAACUCCGAAUACCUUAUAUGUAAUCACAGCAGUCAGGCGGCGAGUGAUAAAAUCCGUCGUCAAGAGGGAAACAACCCAGACUACCAGCUAAGGUCCCUAAAUCUUACUUAAGUGGAAAACGAUGUGAAGUUACUUAAACAACCAGGAGGUUGGCUUAGAAGCAGCCAUCCUUUAAAGAAAGCGUAAUAGCUCACUGGUCUAGUGAUUUUGCGCGGAAAAUAUAACGGGGCUAAAGUAAGUACCGAAGCUGUAGACUUGCACACAACUUAGAUUAUUUAAGUUUAGAAUAUGAGAAACUAAGUUAUAUGUUUAGUUAUAUUUUUACUGAUUUUUAUAGAGUAAAGAUAGAAAUAAAACUUAGUAAAAUCAGUAAAAAUAUUCUUAGACUAAAGUUAAGUAGUUUAAGUUGUGUGCAAGUGGUAGGAGAGCGUUCUAUUUGCGCCGAAGGUAUACCGGUAAGGAGUGCUGGAGCGAAUAGAAGUGAGCAUGCAGGCAUGAGUAGCGAUAAUUAAUGUGAGAAUCAUUAACGCCGUAAACCCAAGGUUUCCUACGCGAUGCUCGUCAUCGUAGGGUUAGUCGGGUCCUAAGUCGAGUCCGAAAGGGGUAGACGAUGGCAAAUUGGUUAAUAUUCCAAUACCAACAUUAGUGUGCGAUGGAAGGACGCUUAGGGCUAAGGGGGCUAGCGGAUGGAAGUGCUAGUCUAAGGUCGUAGGAGGUUAUACAGGCAAAUCCGUAUAACAAUACUCCGAGAACUGAAAGGCUUUUUGAAGUCUUCGGAUGGAUAGAAGAACCCCUGAUGCCGUCGAGCCAAGAAAAGUUUCUAAGUUUAGCUAAUGUUGCCCGUACCGUAAACCGACACAGGUGGGUGGGAUGAGUAUUCUAAGGCGCGUGGAAGAACUCUCUUUAAGGAACUCUGCAAAAUAGCACCGUAUCUUCGGUAUAAGGUGUGGUUCGCUUCGUACUAGGAUUUACUCCGAAAGCGAAGAAACUUACAACA